AAUCAACGCUGGCGGCGUGCCUAACACAUGCAAGUCGAGCGAGAAAGGGGAGCAAUCCCCGAGUACAGCGGCGCACGGGUGAGUAACACGUGGGUAAUCUGCCUCGGAGCGGGGAAUAACACCGGGAAACCGGUGCUAAUACCGCAUACGAUCACGAUGUCUGCGGACGUUGUGAUGAAAGGCGCAAGUCGCUCGGAGAGGAGCCCGCGGCUGAUUAGCUAGUUGGUGGGGUAAUGGCCCACCAAGGCAACGAUCAGUAUCCGGUCUGAGAGGACGGUCGGACACACUGGAACUGAGACACGGUCCAGACUCCUACGGGAGGCAGCAGUGGGGAAUAUUGGACAAUGGGCGAAAGCCUGAUCCAGCCAUGCCGCGUGUGUGAAGAAGGUCUUCGGAUUGUAAAGCACUUUAAGUUGGGAGGAAGGGCAGUAAGUUAAUACCUUGCUGUUUUGACGUUACCGACAGAAUAAGCACCGGCUAACUCUGUGCCAGCCGCCGCGGUAAGAC
rnacentral:rRNA from 1 species